UUGACCGUCCCGACAUGCUCUCCUUCGGUCUUCUUUGAGGAGUUUCUGACAUAUCUCCAAUCAUUGGCCUGAUUUCGUAUGUUCCAUUUUCUUUCUUUCUUUAAUCUUUUUUAAAAGAUUUUUUAUUAUACUUGAUUUACAAUGUCAUGGCAAUUUCUGCUGUACAGCAUAGUGACCCAGUCAUACACACACACACACACACAUCCUUUUUCUCACAUUAGCCUCCACCAUGUUCCAUCACAAGUGACUAGAUACAGUUCCCUGUGCUACACAGCAGGAUCUCAUUGCUUAUCCAUUCCAAAGGCAAUAGUUUGCAUCUACUAACCCCAAACUCCCAGUUUUCUUCUGAAAGCUUAGAGCUCCUUGUUUCCCUUCCCAUAUCCCAUGAUCUUUGCAAGUAUUUACCCUCCAUCUACUGAAGCAGGGUGAUCUCAGACAGGCUGACUCUGUCUCCACCUCAGGACUGUGACUUUUAGGAAGAGGCACAAGGCCUCAGCUAGACACCUCUGUCUGCAGCCCUAAAAGAUGCUGAUUUCUAUCCCUGGGACAUCUAGCCUCUCUGUAGAAGGACACACGGCCUGUGCCCACCAAGAGACAGAGGGCUCACGCUCCAUCCCUGCAGCGUCCACGAUGAAUUUGAAAGGGCUUAGGAAGUGAGCUCAACACAGUUAUAGAAUCCAUUAAUCAGAGGUGUUUAGAGCCUGACUCAUGACACCACUGAUGCUUUAGUGAAACUUGGUCUAAGCUUUGCACAACCACUCUACCUUGGCCUUAGACAGCUUCAAGAUCUGAUUUGGAAGAGGAAUGUAGUAAAAAUCCUGGAGGAAUAACAGUUGUCCACUUUCAGUAGUGAACUGAAAGCGCAUGCUCUGGGAGCAAGCAUUGAGAUGGGAGUUAGAGGUCUUCUAAGGAUGAAAGAGGAAGUUCCUGUUGUGGCUCAGUGGUAAUGAACCACACUAGUAUCCAUGAGAAUGUGGGUCCAGUUCCUGGCCUCGCUCAGUGGGUUAAGGAUCCGGUGUUGCUACAAGCUGUGAUGUAGGCUGCAGACAUGGCUGGAUCCCACAUUGCUGUGGCUGUGGUGUAGGCCUGCAGCUGCAGCUCCGAUUCAGCCCUCACCUGGGAAUUUCCAUAUGCUGCAGGUGUGGCCCUAAAAUUAAAAAAAAAAAAAAUUAAGUAGGGAUGAAAGAAGUAGAAUGAGGGGUGCCUGUUGAUGAGAAAGGCACUAUAUGGUGGGAUGCCUGAGUGGUAGGUGACUGAUGAUGUGCCAGGCCUACGGUACGGUCGCCUAAAACAGUUUUAUAUCUUUCUGUCACUGCCUGUGCCCCCUGGAUUCUCUUUCCUUUUCCUUAAUGGUGCCUUGAGCAGAUUCCAUAACUUCCCACAUUACACAAUUGUUCUUUUGUUUUUUAACAAAAAGCUCUCUGUAGGCCAAUUUAAAACUCCCCACUCCAACCAAUUUACUCGCUAUCUCUUCCCCAUACCUUCUGCAUGGCCUAAGCAGUUAGAGCAGGAGGGGAGCCAGCUCUUCAUGUCUUUUCCUGUUCUUACAGCUUGGAGAGUGGAAGAGAGCAUAGUCCAUGCUUGGGUCUGGAAUAUUGCCCCUACGUCUCUGCUGUUUAAGAUUGGUUGUGAGAGCUGGGGAGGUGGGGCCCACCGUGGUGGUUCCCUCCCGGUGGAUGUUGCUCAUACUUUGGCUAACACUGGUUAUGUGGAUCACCCCAGUGAGAUGACACCUUUAUGAGCUUUUCAGAACAUUUGGCUGGACCUCUCCACAGCCAAUUCCCUUAUAUAAUUCAGGCCCAAACAUUGCUCCAACCAGGAAAGUGUCCCACAGAGACAAACACACACACACACACACACACACACACACACACACACACACACACACACACACCGCUCUUGACACAUUCCCAGUUGAGUGCAGUGGUGGAGUGGCCAAGACAACCACACAACCAGAACUGGAGUCCAGGACUGAGGUCCAUUCCAGCCCCACCAUUUACUUAACUCCUCGGAGCUUCAAUUUUACAUCAAGGAUAAUGUUGCUUAUCUCAUGGCAUCAUAGAGAAAAGGGCCAUAGGCUUUGUGAUGUCCCACUGCCUGGGUUCAAACCCCAGAUCCAUUAGUUAGUUCCCACAUAUGGGAUCUUAGACAAACUGUACCUCUGAGACUCAGUUUCCUUAUCUGUAACAUGGAAUGGUGUUGUUAACUCCCUCGUAGGGUAGAUGUAAGACUUAAAUACAGGAUAGCAUGUAUCUAGAACAGUACAUGGAGACAAGGCAAGCACUCAAAAUAGGUCAGUUAUUGUUCUUUUUCUACAAGGAAAGCACUUGGCUGGAAGCCUGGUACCUGAUAGCUACAGUUACAGAGUGGAGGAGGGCCGGGCAAGCGCCAGACCUCUGCACGGAGGCUGGUAUUCACAAAGGGGUGCCUCUCCUUACUCCCCUGCUAGGUUUGAAACAUUUCACCCACCCUUGACUGUGCUUUCUACCACAUCCGUGCCUCUCUGGAUCUGUCAGCUCCCUGUGGUCUGCCUGCAAACUCAGGAGCCUGCACAAGUCCAGGCAGCACUGUUCCUGCCUCGAGAGCCAACACCAUCCACCCCCAGCUGAGCUUCCUCCCCUCAGAAACAGGCCACUGUUUACCCAGAGGGUAGAGCUCUGAGCAAAGCUGUUUAUCCCGUAGUCAGACUCCAAAGGCUUCUACUCAGCAGAUUUCCUCGCUGUCUGGGAGCUUAGGCCCAGUCUGUCAUCGGUAUUUCUGCAUCAACCCCUGUGUGGGAUCAGACACAAAUCUGAGGCAACUGAUUUGUCAGCAACCAGCCUUGUACUUUGAGUUGUUUUUCCAGUGUGGAUAUGAAUUAAUACCUCCUCACCCACGCUCUCACAUUCAGACUCCCUUGUGACCAAGAGACAUAAUAGCCUCUUCACAGUCUGAACCCUGCCUACCUGUCCUGGCUUAUGUCCCCCAAGCCCCAGUCCAAACAAAUUACAGAUAACAGAGGCGCUAUGUUCAACCCCUCACAUGCCUUCAGGCCCACUUCCCUUCCCUGUGCUGAGAACCCCCUUCCCCACUGUUACUUCCACCCCUGACAAACUCAUCCUCCCCUUUCAGAAUUCAGUCAAGCGUCACCCUCCCUAGGGUCCCUUCAGAGUCUUGUCUGUUUUCCCCUUUGCCAGAUGGGUAAGGGAGACCCAUUUUUUUUCUCCCACCCAUUGUGGCUUAGACCUAUUACUAUAUCAUAUUUAACUUGGAUUUUAUCUCCCCCACUAGUCUAUGAAUUCCUUAGAGACAGAUAUUUCAUGUUCUGUAACUCUGUAUCUCCAGUACAGAGUGUGUAGCAAUGCACUUAUAUAGAAUUUGUACUGAGUAAAUAGAGAUCCCUGAAUGAAUUUUCAAGAUUGCUGCCUACAGUAGUUCUGUGUAGCAGUAGUUCAAAGAACAAAAAAAUAAGUAAAAAACUAAAAAGGAAACAUAUCUAUCAUGGAACUCAUUAAUGUACCCUGGAUACACAGGGUGAAUAAACUGAGCUCUCCAGCCACAGAGAUAUCUCUGGGAAGUAUAUAAAUCUAGGAACAAGUCCUUAUCUUAAGCAGUAAAAAAUUAUUCCGGUAGAUGCCGUCUUGAUUACUGUCACCAUCAGGAUUGUUGGAAGACGUUAUUUAGAUGGUCAGUAUACAACAAUUUCUUUUCCAUACUAUACCCAUGUCAAAAUGGUUAAGUCCAUAUUUUUAAAAUGAUUGAAAUCUUAGCUUCUCUGACAUAUCCAGGGAGCACCAGGCAUAUUUAUGAAGAAGUGGAGAAUUAAUGCUUUUUAUUUCCUAUCCAAGGACAUCUACUAGGAAUGCCCCUUUGUCCUCAUGCUUCCUGAUUUAUAAUAGCCUUCCAGUAAAGUGUCUUCCCCCCACCAACACAUAUCCAAAUGUAUGCUUAGCUCUACUAUUAUUGGGCUGUCUCUGAAGUAAGGUUCAAGUUCCUUCCCCCAACUGCAGCAAAAAUAACUCGAGGAAUAAUACUUUUCAUAUGCCAUUCUGUGAAGUAGAUAUCUCUGUGAUCUCUAGACAUGGAAACCGAGAUUCAUAAAAGUAAUAUAUUGUUCAAAUUUAAACAAUCAGUUAAGAGAGUUAAUAUUGGAUAGAAUAGUAACUGUGAGGAUGAAGUUUGGAAUCAGAAGAUCCUGGGCUCUUACUUUCUACUUAUUAACUACAUGAUUUGGGCAAAUUAAUUUGCUUUACCAAGCUUUAGUUUCCUUAACUGCCAAAUAUGAAUAAUAAUGUCCAUUUAAGUAAAACUUAACUAGUGGCUUUUAUAAAACAUCUACUCAAAAUAUUAAAGAAGCACCUGAAAAGAGCUAUUAUAAAUCUUAAAUAAGCUCAUGAAUUUAAGGGGAAACAUGAACACAAUGGGUAGAGAAGUGGGAGAUAUAUGAAUAUGUAAAUGGGACUUCUAGAAAUGAAAAAUAUAGAAUGUUAAAUGAAACAUACACCAGAUGUUGGGAUUAAUAGCAGAUUAGAAACUGAAGGAAAAAAGAACAGUAAAUUUGAGAACAAAGCUAUAAAAGUUAUGCUACAUGAAACAUAGAGAAAACUAACCUGAAAUAAGCUGAGAUCCUCAGUAAAAUGAAGCCCAAUAUAAAGUAAUCAUAUACUAUAAUACGUAUGAUUGUGAGUCCAGAAAAGGAGACAUACUUGAAGAAAUAAUAAUAACGAAUUUGCAAAUGUGAAGAAAAUUACAAAUUUAUAUAUCUAAGAAGAUCAUCAAACAUCAAAUCAAAUAAACACAAAGAAAUUUACAUGAAGGCACAUCAUAAUCAAGUUGCUGAAAACCAGUGACAAAGGAAAGUCACAAAAGCACCAAGAGGAAAAAAUACACACAUAUAUUACGUGGAGUAGAACAAAGAUAAGAAUGAGAUCACGUUUCUUAUCAGAAACUAGAUAAUUUGAAGAAAAUAAAGCCACAUCUUUGAAAGCAGUGAAAUAAAAAUUUGUCAAUCUGGAAUUCUAUGCCUAGCAGGAAUAUCUUUCAAAAACAAAGGCAAAAUAAAAACUUUGUGACACAAACACUGAGGUAAUUUAUGGAGAGUAGACUUGCACUCUGCAAAAUGUUAAAUAAAGUUCUGUAGGCAGAAGGGAAUGGAGAGAAAAUUGGAUUAACGCAAAAGAAUAAAGAAUGCUGGCAAUGGUAAGUAUAUUGAUUAAUAUAAAACAUCCUCCUUUUUUGCAUUUUAAACUAUUUAAAAAAUAAUGGAAAAUUCCAAAUUCUCUGUAGCAGUUUAAAAUCCCCAUAGCCCAUCCUUUGCACUGAUUUCAACUAACUAUACAUUACAGAAAAUAUAAAAAAAAAAAAACUACCUGAUAACUCUCAAAAGCAAUUACGAACACUUCUGCUUCUGGGAAAAUGGGGUGGAUAUAUCUAUCCUGUUCCUCCUGAUGAAUAGGAAAAAUACCUAGAUAUAUAAAACAUAUAAAACAAAGGUAAGAUGACUCUGAAAAGUGGACAGAAAAAGGCAACCCAACUAGAGAAACUGGGGUCUAAAGAAUAACACAGUGAUCACUUCCUUGGGCUUUCAGAUUGGGUAUUAGAGAACCUGGCAAUGUGGAAAUGCCAAUAGGCACAAACAGAUACCCAAAACACAACCCGUAAAAGAAAAAUCAAAUAUUGGACUUCAUCAAAAUUCAAAACUCUUGUUUUAAAAAAGACCCAGUUAGAAGAAUGGAAAUACAACCUACAGAAU
rnacentral:lncRNA from 1 species